UACGUAGGCAGCAAGCGUUGUUCGGAAUUACUGGGCGUAAAGAGUGUGUAGGCGGUGCUCUAAGUUCGGUGUGAAAUCUCCCGGCUCAACUGGGAGGGUGCGCCGAAAACUGGAGUGCUGGAGCGCGGGAGAGGAAAGCGGAAUUCCUGGUGUAGCGGCGAAAUGCGUAGAUAUCAGGAGGAACACCGGCGGUGUAGACGGCUUUCUGGACCGUAGCUGACGCUGAGACACGAAAGCGUGGGUAGCAAACAGG
rnacentral:rRNA from 1 species